rnacentral:rRNA from 1 species
GAUGAACGCUAGCGGCAGGCUUAAUACAUGCAAGUCGAGGGGUAGCAAGAUUGUAGCAAUACAAUUGUUGACGAACGGCAAACGGGUGCGGAACACGUACACAACCUUCCUACAAGUGGGGAAUAGCUCAGAGAAAUUUGGAUUAAUACCCCGUAACAUAGCGAUGUGGCAUCACAUUGCUAUUAUAGCUUCGGCGCCUGUGGAUGGGUGUGCGGCUGAUUAGAUAGUUGGCGGGGUAACGGCCCACCAAGUCUACGAUCAGUAGCUGAUGUGAGAGCAUGAUCAGCCACACGGGCACUGAGACACGGGCCCGACUCCUACGGGAGGCAGCAGUAAGGAAUAUUGGACAAUGGACGCAAGUCUGAUCCAGCCAUGCCGCGUGAAGGAUUAAGGUCCUCUGGAUUGUAAACUUCUUUUAUAAGGGACGAAAAAAGGUCUUUCUAGAUCGUCUGACGGUACCUUAUGAAUAAGCACCGGCUAACUCCGUGCCAGCCGCCGCCGUAA